CUACUGCACGGUCUUGGCUCAACCCG
rnacentral:snRNA from 1 species